GCGCUCAUAGCUCAGUGGCAGAGCGGGGGACUCUAACUCCCCGUCAGCGCGGGUUCGAGCCCCGCUGAGCGCA
rnacentral:tRNA from 1 species